GAUUGUGGCAAAUAAACUGAAUGCAUUAGGAAUGCAUUCGAAUCAUCAUCAACAGCAACAACAACACACCACCCAGACAUUGCCUCAAGGCUGUAAUCGUCUUCGCCUCCUUCUGCUCUCUUAAAUGGUUCAGCACUUUUCUUAACCUCUCCUACAACUAAAGAUAUUUCUACAUCCUCUCUAGCCUCUGCUACUAAUGACGUCAAUUUGAUUGUGGCAAAUAAACUGAAUGCAUUAGGAAUGCAUUCGAAUCAUCAUCAACAGCAACAACAACACACCACCCAGACAUUGCCUCAAGGCUGUAAUCGACUAAUGCAACAACAAAUGCUAACACAACCUCGGCAACAACUGCAGCAACAGCAAAUGAUUUGAAUUUCUUGCCACAACUAAGGCUGACACCACAAACUCAAGGAACAGAAC